rnacentral:rRNA from 1 species
ACUCCUACGGGAGGCAGCAGUGGGGAAUAUUGGACAAUGGACCAAAAGUCUGAUCCAGCAAUUCUGUGUGUUUGAUGAAGGCCUUCGGUUGUAAGAACUUUCAGUGGGGAAGAAGCAAGUGACGGUACCCACCAGAAGAAGCGACGGCUAAAUACGUGCCAGCAGCCGCGGUAAUACGUAUGUCGCAAGCGUUAUCCGGAAUUAUUGGGCAUAAAGGGGCGUCUAGGCGGUCUAAUAAGUCUGAUGUGAAAAUGCGGGGCUCAACUCCGUAUUGCGUUGGAAACUGUUAGACUAGAGUUUUGGAGAGGUAGGCGGAACUACAAGUGUAGAGGUGAAAUUCGUAGAGAUUUGUAGGAAUGCCGAUGACGAAGGUAGCUUACUGGACAAAUACUGACGCUGAAGCGCGAAAGCUAGGGGAGCAAACAGGAUUAGAUACCCUGGUAGGUCAGU